rnacentral:lncRNA from 1 species
AACAUCCCAGGGAAUUGUGUCACUCCCAUUGAGCAGCUGUGGGGCCCUCUCCCACAUGGCCCAGGUCCACCACUCUGUCAAAGGUCGCACAGCCCAGACAAAAACAGGACACAGCAGUGUGUGAAUGAGCCGGGCUUUCUCCUUCCCUCCACGUAAUAGAAGGUGCCUGAGGUUGUUGAAACACAGUCCAUUUCUCCUGGGAAUGACAAGAAUUUGAGGGAUGCUGACUUUCAAGGAAUACUGCAUGACAGGCAUCAAGAUAAACCUGAUGAAGAAAACAUAGGCCAGAAUCUGGGAAUCGGGAGCAAAGUAAUACAGCUUCGGGGACAGGCACGUAAUGAGGUCAUGAUGUAGGAGACUCCCUGCAGGACUGGCGGCCCCUGUUCCCUGGGUUGUUCUGGCUCUUUCAGGUGAGAGAGAAGGAUACAGACAGGAAAUGGCACUUCCUAGAAGGGCAACCCUCUGUUCCUGGGGUGUGUGGCAUCUUCCAGCGUUGGGUCUGAGGUUCUAGAUUUAUAUGUUAACAAGCUGAAUUCCUGCUUCAUCUGGAGGACUGCACAGUGUAUCUGAGAGAGGAUUUUCAGGAGGCCAGAAAAUCAAGCUGGAGGGAUUUUCAGCGUGUUGGGAGAUUGCUACCUGUUUUAAGUCAGGCCAUUGCCACGUCUUUUUCCCCACCUUGGAGACUUCAGGCCUUCAGACAACACUCCCGCACUGGGUUUAUGAGAGUAACCCCCACCUUCCCAGGAAGUUGGAAGCAUUGCCCCAGCCUUUCCAGAAGCUCUGCCUGCCGUUAGCUUGGAUCAUGAAAAUUGGCUCGGCCAGGAGAAUACAUUAUAAGGCCCCAAACCGCGCCAAAUCUUAAGCCCUCAGAGCAUAAAGAUAAACUGAUUUACAAUUAUUUUCAUUAAAAUGUCAUUUUAGGUAUAUGAAUGAACAA